GGUUUCUAGAAUUCAUUUCCUUCUGUGUUGCACUUUCCUCUUUCCUUUUUGUAGAUAGAUUUGAAAAUCUUUUCUUCUUUAAUUUUCACGGCAGCCCGUCUUUUGUAGCAAUUUAUUUCCUACGUGUUUUUUCUCUCCACUCUUUGUAGAUCUAGAAACUCAAUUGAAUUUGUUCGUUUACAAGUACGAUCGCUCGUUUUCAUUGUUAUUACUGGUUGUGAAGCUUUUUUUAGUUUAGUGAAGGCUAAUUAAAGGUCGAUACAGGCCAAACUUCAUUUGUAUGAGUUCCAUCCCCCCUCCUGUACUGUACUUCAAUUCAGGAAAAGAUUGGAGAUCGACUUACUUUUGGGAAGAUGAUGUUUGUCCCAUACCUGGUACCACUAAGAUCGAGAACUUGAACCUGAAUAUUCAAGCUUUAUCUGUGAAAUUGACACCCCCCAAGAGAUGGCUAAACUCGAAUCCUUUGCUUCUGCCAACGUAGUUAAGGGCGAUAGACAUGCUUACCUGGCAAACACAUGGUUAAACUCAGAGACUCCCCCACCAUCCUCGUGGAAGCCCGAGUUUGCCAGCAGUAUGAAUUUUACAAUAACAAGAAUAUGAGCAGGAGUGUAAAGUUUGCUACCCUUUUGAUUACGUACGAGGUAUUAUUGAAAGAUAAGGUAGUACUCUCCAAAAUUAAGUGGAACUAUCUUAUGGUUGAUGAAGCACUCGAGUUGAAGAACAGUGAAGCCUCUUUGUACACAACAUUAUUGGUAUGAUGAAAUUUUGACUGAGUAUAUGCUUGGCUCAUAUAUUAUACUUCCGAGGUAGGUACAUAGUGGGGAUUAGAUAUUUUUCCACAGGAAUUCAGCACAAAGAACAGGUUGCUUAUUACUGGCACUCCCCUGCAAAACAGUGUUGAAGAGCUAUGUUGUUGGAGCACACAUUGGACCAACCUGUAAAUGUUGAAUAGCACAGGCAACAGUAGCAGAAGCAACCAUAUUUCUUCAUCUGCGCUUGACACAUAUCACCUCAGGGAUUUCACCUUCCACUAUGCAUACGGGGAGCCUUCGACUGAUUACUUCUCUCUAUGCCAUUGACAUUCUAUGUAAGAAAACUUUUUUUUCCUUCAGCGUUUUCUAUAAUUUUCUGAAUUUCUAAGAAUGUAAUAUCAUGUGUGUGUAUAUAAAAACUUUGUGCUUCUUUUGGUUUUAUAUGUUUUAUCUUUAAUUGUUACAAAUGGAAUUUGAAUUAAGACAGCACCAGCAAUAGAUCCUAUGGGUAGAUGUAAUAUUAAGACAAAUAUUUCCUACCAGCUUUGGAACCAAAUUAUGCUUCUUGGUUUUGGAGUGGCUUAACGAUGUAACGACGUGAUAUUAUUAAAGAUGAGUAAUUAGAGAUAAUUUUUGUUUAUUUAUAUUCAUUAUAUAAAUGA